GCGUGGGUAACACAGUGCGGCGCCGCGCCAUUGCGCUGAUACCGAGAGGUGAAUUACGGGCGCUGAUACCGAUUUACACCACUCUGUAACACAAUGGCGCCAGCAACACCGGAACACUGACAACACCACUAAACGCUGGGUGUCGCAAAGAACCAGCAAAGAACACACAAAAGAGAAAUGUCAAUUUGCUAUUUUGCUUUGAAUUUGCUGAUGACUCAGAUUGAUCUAAGCGAAUUCAUACAGCAAUAUUGGAAGAAAUUUCCUUGAAUCAUUUAUUUGCUGGAUCAACGCAGCUACUAAUCGCAGCGACUGAUAUCCCGAUGUGAAAGAAAAUGUAAAAAUACGAGUUUUCGCGAAAGGUAACAGCACGCAUGACGAUAUGUUACAAUAUCUCCAGUGUUAGACGAGGUGUUACCAAUUAGUUGGUUUACUGCCCAAAUCUGAUCUACACUUUAUUAUAUAAACGAAUUGCACCACGCACUUUGGACUCAGAAACGUGAACCGAAGAACAUCAGCCAAAUUUGAUAAUCAAUUGCUAUACGGCAUAUAAAAUCGCAUUUGGCAUUCGCAUUUGAACGCACAUUGACAAGGUAUUGCGUGAGGCAUAUUGUGUCUUGUAACCAGGUGGACGUUUUAUGGUUUGGACUCACGUCAUCUAAUCAAUGACACACUACAAUGGCUUUACGAUCAGUACUCGUUUAAAGUGAUACCGCCAAUGGGCCAGAUUUUAGCGAGCCAUUGCAGCCCUAUCAGUAUCCGGUAGAUAAUUUGGAAAUUUCGAAGCAAAUGAUUGAAGAUGAAUCUAGCAUUCAGAGUUGGGAGCAUAUUCAGGUUUUAACCUAUAAAUUUUUAUAUUUUAUGCACAUGCCAAGGCGUAAAUAAGUUAAAUAGCAUAAUAUUUAGCAAAUUUAUAUAAUAAAUGGCGUUUUUUUAAUAUACAGGUAUAUUUUCGAUUUCAUAAUAGUAACGGGCCUAAGAGACGUGGGUCCACCAUGUUGCAACUUUCCCACGUAUUUUAUUUUAUAUAAAAUAGCUAUAAAACAAAUACAUUUGUGAUUCGCACACCAAAUCGUCAGUACAUUUAGAAGCGAGGAAAUUUUAAAGCAGUGAGCAUUCCAGUUGGAAUUUUUAUUAAAACCCUUAUAGUUCAUUUACUUUAAUAGUGUCUUAAUCCAAAAAAUACAAAUAUUGAGCUAAAUAUGUAUUCCCGCUACUUCUACUUCUAUGUUGUGCAAAAAUUUCAUAGCUGUAUCGAUUACCAGUAUCUCAUUAGAACAAAAUAUUAUUCAGCCCUAUCUCCAACUCCAUGUGAAUAAAUCGUUUCCAUAAUUUAACAGGAAAAACAAAAACAAAUUGGAAAAAA